rnacentral:rRNA from 1 species
CAUAUCAAUAAGCGGAGGAAAAGAAACUAACCAGGAUUCCCUUAGUAACGGCGAGUGAACAGGGAUUAGCCCAGCACCGAAGCCUGCGGUCUUUUGGCCGUUCGGCAAUGUGGUGUUUAGGUUGGCAUACUCAGGCGAUGUACUGUCUAAGUCCAUUUCAUAAUAUGGCUAGCUAUCUGGCCCAGAGAGGGUGAAAGGCCCGUGAGCAUAGUACGUUGUUCUGUACUUAGCCAACCGUUGAGUCGGGUUGUUUAGGAAUGCAGCCCAAAGUUGGUGGUAAACUCCAUACUAAGGCUAAAUACUGGCACGAGUCCGAUAGCGAACAAGUACCGUGAGGGAAAGUUGAAAAGU